rnacentral:rRNA from 1 species
GAUGAACGCUGGCGGCGUGCCUAAUACAUGCAAGUCGAGCGAACAGACGAGGAGCUUGCUCCUCUGACGUUAGCGGCGGACGGGUGAGUAACACGUGGAUAACCUACCUAUAAGACUGGGAUAACUUCGGGAAACCGGAGCUAAUACCGGAUAAUAUAUUGAACCGCAUGGUUCAAUAGUGAAAGACGGUCUUGCUGUCACUUAUAGAUGGAUCCGCGCCGCAUUAGCUAGUUGGUAAGGUAACGGCUUACCAAGGCAACGAUGCGUAGCCGACCUGAGAGGGGGAUUCGCCCCACCUGAACAGGAACAAGGUCCAGAACCCGACGGGAGGCAGGAGGUGGGAAUUUUCCGCAAUAGGGGGAAGCCUGACGGGGCAACGGCGGGGGGGUGAUGAAGGGUUUCGGAAUGGAAAACUUUGUUAUUAGGGAAGAAAAAAUGUGUAAAGAAAUUUGGACAGCUUUACGGUAACUAAUCAGAAAGCCCCGGGUAACUACGGG